rnacentral:lncRNA from 1 species
CGGGUUUAGUUUUCUGGAAUCAGUUUUCUGUAAUUAGUUUUUACUUCAGUUUCAUUAUGUACAUGUAUAUCUUUUUCAUAUUCAUUUGUUAAAAUUUACUGUUUGCAAUAGUGUGAAUUGUUUUAUAUAAUAUGAAUGUUCUUAUCCUGGGCAUACAAACAAUGCCGUAUUUGGCAAAACCUUUUCAACUUUAGAUCUUCAGUGCUGUACAAUUUUGUAAUUUUUUUUCGUCACUGGUGAGUCUCGUGUGGACUAGACGCGUUUUUGGCGUAUUGAAUUUUAAACCUGAUGCUUUUUGUUAUCUAUUAAUCAUGCUUUUCUUUGUCUAAUAUGUUCUGCUUUUUAUUUGUAUUGUAGUCCUGUAAUAUUUUGUUUUCAUUUCAAUGUUAUAUUUAACUGUGCCAUUAAAGUGCGAGGUUUGGCAUGCCUUAAAACCAGGUUCAACCCACCACUUUUAUUCCCCUUUAAAAGUGUCCUGUACCAAGUCAGGAAGAUGGUCAUUGUUAUAAUAUUGUUCGUUUCUGUGUGUGUGUUGCAUUUUAACGUUGAGUCGUUUCUGUUUUCUCUUAUUUUUGAGAUAAGACGUGGCACGGUACUUGUCUAUCCCAUAUUUAUGUAUUUGGUUUUGAUGUUAUAUUUGUUAUUCUCGUGGUGUAUUGUCUGUUGCUUGGUCCGUUUCUGUGUGCUGUUGCGUUUCGGUGUUGUGUCGUUGUUCUCCUCUUAUAUUUAAUGCGUUUCCCUCGGUUUUGGUUUGUUGCCCCGAUUUUGUUUUUUGUCCAUGGAUUUAUGAGUUUUGAACAGCGGUAUACUACUGUUGCCUUUAUUUAACUUCGA